GCCCGAUGAGAGUCCUUUUGGCUAGUGGUAGUAGAAAGGUGCUUUAAAAUACAUAAUGGAGUUGCGUUUUGGUUGAAGUAUGACAUUUGCUAGAUUUGUGAUUUUCAGCAAGUCAUUUAAAAAUUUCUGGGCCUUUCUACUUAUUUCUAAUAUGGAGAUAUAAUCACUAUCUCAGACAGUUUCCUAAAAUGUGGCACAUGAAGUAUGCUGUUUUAAACUUUUACAAAUAUAAGGCUAAGGGUUUAAAAAAGAAUAUACUGGGGCCGGGCAAGGUGACUGAAAAUUUUUAUGUUUACAAGCAUGUCCCUAUUACUAGAAUGGGAGCUCCCCUAAAUAGAGACUGUAUUUUACUCAUCUUUUAUUCUCAGUGCUUGGGACAGUGCCUGGCACUCAAAUGUGUACUGGAUGAAUUAAACAAGACACAUCUACAGAGAAUACAAAAUGUUUUCAAGCAAAC
rnacentral:lncRNA from 10 species